UAGUUGAUUUUUUGGCAUUUCAGGAACUUGUUACUGCUUGGGUUGUCAUCUUGGCUUGCCUUGUCCAUGGGUUUGUUACAGUCUUAGUUGCUAGUGAAGCUCAUGCAAUAACUCUGGCUGUUGAGGGUUUGUUAGGAGUUGUGUUUACAGUGGCUGCAUUAACAGAUGAAGCAAUGGAUGUUGGUGAGGUACUUUGACCGCGAUGUUGAAUGUGUCUUCAAGUUCUUUAGAAAGAGGUUCAGAUCACUUCCAGGACUUGUCAACCAGACCCAAAGGGAUAUCAUAGAAUGUGAGAACUUUGUCUUCCAAAGAGUUUGUGGCUCUUUAACUAGUGAAAUAAGAAUUGAAAUUUCUUAUCAUUGAUACAUUCUGUCUCUAGAUGGAAACCAAUCAAACCACACUUGCAUAAAUGAGAUCAGUUGAAUGUGCUGUCAUUUCUCAGAUACUGUAUUGUGCAGUGACAUAAUAUAUCAAGUGACCGAUUACACACAUGCAUAGGCACACACUGACACGUAUACUUGGAUUGACUGAUAAAAACUAAUAAUUUCAUUACUUGCAACAUAGAAACCUAGAAUUAUAACUUUCAUACAUUUUUAAUUAAUACAAGGCAAUUUGAAACUUUUUUUUUUUUUUUAAAAGCCCUAGAAUUACCACUUUAAGUAAUUGUUGGUGUGAUUCCAUUAUUACACUCAAAUAUUACAGGUGUGUAGAUGUGACUGGAUCUUACAGUGCUUAAAAGACAGAGCUUAACAUAAGCUUGAUGGCAAUAGGCCUUUUGUGGACUACA